AACGAAGCUAACGCGUGAAGUAGACCCGCCUGGGGAGUACGGCCGCAAGGUUAAAACUCAAAGGAAUUGACGGGGACCCGCACAAGCGGUGGAUGAUGUGGAUUAAUUCGAUGCAACGCGAAAAACCUUACCUACCCUUGACAUGUCAGGAAGUCCGCAGAGAUGUGGAUGUGCUCGAAAGAGAACCUGAACACAGGUGCUGCAUGGCUGUCGUCAGCUCGUGUCGUGAGAUGUUGGGUUAAGUCCCGCAACGAGCGCAACCCUUAUCAUUAGUUGCUACGAAAGGGCACUCUAAUGAGACUGCCGGUGACAAACCGGAGGAAGGUGGGGAUGACGUCAAGUCCUCAUGGCCCUUAUGGGUAGGGCUUCACACGUCAUACAAUGGUCGGUACAGAGGGCUGCCAACCCGCGAGGGGGAGCUAAUCCUUUAAAACCGAUCGUAGUCCGGAUUGUAGUCUGCAACUCGACUACAUGAAGUCGGAAUCGCUAGUAAUCGCGGAUCAGAAUGUCGCGGUGAAUAC
rnacentral:rRNA from 1 species